GAUGAACGCUAGCGGCAGACUUAAUACAUGCAAGUCGAGGGGCAGCAGGAAUAGCAAUAUUUGCUGGCGACCGGCGCACGGGUGCGUAACACGUAUACAAUCUGCCUUUAACAGGGGGAUAGCCCGGAGAAAUCCGGAUUAAUACCCCAUAACAAUAGAACAAGCAUUUGUUUUAUUUAAAAGCUCCGGCGGUUAGAGAUGAGUAUGCGUCUGAUUAGCUAGUUGGUGAGGUAACGGCUCACCAAGGCGACGAUCAGUAGGGGAUCUGAGAGGAUUAACCCCCACACGGAUACUGAGACACGGAUCCGACUCCUACGGGAGGCAGCAGUAAGGAAUAUUGGACAAUGCCCGCAAGGGUGAUCCAGCCAUGCCGCGUGCAGGAAGACGGCCCUAUGGGUUGUAAACUGCUUUUGUACCGGAGAAAACCUCCCCUCGUGAGGGGAGCUGAUAGUAUGGUAAGAAUAAGCAUCGGCUAACUUCGUGCCAGCCGCCGCGGUAA
rnacentral:rRNA from 1 species